AUGCACAUUAAAAAAAAAAAGUUGUUUCUGGUGCCGCAGUCUCACAGGUGCUUUUUGUGAAGCCUGCUUAUUGAGACACCAGCAUCUUGCAAUUUUCUCUUAUGAUCUCUCAUUUACAUGUUUAUGCUUUCGGGGGCAUAUGCAACACUGGUGUUGUUCAUUUACAUGGUUAAUUUUGCAUUGUUUGGCAUUUGUUGUGAGGAAUUGUGGUGUGACAUAUCAUUGAGCAGGAGCUUUUUAUUAUUUUUUGUUUUGUUUUACUGUUUACUUGGCAAGCAAACAAGCAUGGCACUAUAGAGCUGUUUUGAAGUGUCUCAACAUUUUACAUGAUUGGGCAGCUCUUACACCUGUUUUACCGUGCAACAUUUAUCCUUGCUUUCACUUGCUAUAGUCGUUCAGAGU
rnacentral:lncRNA from 1 species